UCCACAGAUGCUGCAGGCGUACGAGACAUUUGAGUUAAGUCUGAAUUCACCCCUCAUUUCACCAGAGGAACUUUACGACAUCAGCAAUCAUCACCAUAUGAUGGCAGAUCCAUCUCACUUUAGCUAGGAGCUGAUCUGACAUGCAAGUCUCACCUGUCUUACAGCUCAAAGACAUGAUGUUGGUGAACUCAAGUUCAGAGAAGGGUCAGCCAUAAAGGAUUUCAAAUAAAUCGUUACAGCUUGUGUUGUGAAACACUCAAAGUGAAAACCAAACUUACGAAUAACAACCUUUAGGAUGUCAGGUAUGAGGAAGUCACUCAGAGUGCAUCCUCGCUCAUCCAGUGUACUUUAUCAACAUGCAGUUCAGCCAUUUACUCUUUUAAUAGCGUCUUCGUGUCUGCCAAGCAAUAGGGAAGGUUCAAUAGGAAUUGAACCACUUCCUGCUUUCUUACCACACCAAGCUGAUAUGCUGUGAUAUAAGGCCAUCCAUGUUUUUUGUAUGUUUGUAAAGUAAAGUAAAUGUGCCUCAAACAAUUUUUAUUAAGUAUAGAAGAAGAUAAAGUCGAUGUGGAUUUUUUUGAGUGUGGAAGGGUAAGGGUGUUUUUCUUUAGCACAUUGGGAACAAAAUCCAUUAGCGACAGGAACAAGAGGACUUUUCAUUCUGUCAAAUGGGAAUGAAAAUGCUGGAUGAGGAAAACAAGAAACACAGGAAAAUAUAUGGACAGCCUAAAGUGAAAUAUUGUUCAAUUUGAAAUUAAUUCUUUGCAUAAUAGGAUGUAAUCUAUGUUGUGGCAUGAAUGUAACAAUUUAUUUACAUGCUCUAAAUUAUAGACUGUAGAACAAAUAUAUUUGUUAUUCUAAUUAAUGCCAGUGAAAAUAUCUAAGUCAAGCUUAUAUUGUAUUAUGAAUUGUAUAUAUAUUGUAAUAAACAUACACUGCAGUA